GGCCCCGUGGUGUUCAACACGUUGGAUUGCAAAUCUUAAGAAGUAGGCUGAUCGCCUGCCGGGGCUU
rnacentral:tRNA from 1 species